GGCGGGAGGGGUGGUCAGGUGGUGGGAGGCAGGAGGGGCAGGAGCAGCCCAGACAGCACAGAGGCGCCCUGAUGGGAAUCACAGAAAUCACAGACCAAGGAGGGAGCCGGGAUGACGCCUGACUGAACUGUCUGGAUUUUAACCAGGUGACGAAGAAAAGCCCUGACUAUCUCAGAGGGAAGGGCGACCUUACAAAGCAGUGCUCCAGGGAACACUAAAGUUAGGCCAUCAUCCACCCGGGACAGGGAAGGCCAGCCUGCAGCCCUGGGGUGCUGUGAGGUGCCGGCUGGAGGAAGCCAGGCCUGGUCGGGGAUGGGGGGACGUCCCGACACCUGUGCGGCCGUCAGGAAUUCUGAAGGGCAGGUGUGAGCAGAGGACGCCAUCCACCAGCAAUGACGCUGUGCUCCAGCAUGAGCACGGGCCAAGAUACUGAUCACACAAAGCACCCCAGGCACCACCUGAGCCUUGGUGAAGUGUGCACUUCUGACAGGCGCUGGGGACAGAAGCCUCGCCCGCUUAGCCUUCUGCAUGGACCAGGCCCAGCGGACGAUGCCAGGAGGUGCAGAGGGACCUGCACAGAACGGACGCCACCUGAGCUCCUCGACUCGACACAGCUCACAGCUCCACAGGAGCACGGCACUGGGGUGAGCACCCUCCAGCAUCUCCGCGAAGGACACAGCACGGCACCCAGGGACAGCUGGCCCCGUAGCGCCGCUAGAUUCUGUUCCCAGUGGGCACGAGGCUGUGACCGCAGAGACCACCUCCUCCACCCCCCACCCCGAGGCCCAACUGAAGCUUCAGUUUCCAAGCAGGACUGCUCCCUGGCCCUCCAGUCCAAAUCCAGCCCCCGCCAGGCCUCCAUUUCAGCAGAGCAACAAAGACCGUACUUCAGAACCAGAGCUCUAGAUCACGGCUCUUGGGACGGCCCCAGGAGUUCUUUACAGAUUAAGGGCAACUCCCAGGGGAUGUGGAUUCUCCGGCACCUCAGGCCUUCCGUGCCAGAGGUCUCUGACAAAUGA
rnacentral:lncRNA from 1 species